rnacentral:rRNA from 1 species
GACUGUGCUAAGGUAGCAUAAUCAUUUGCCUUAUAAUUGAAGGCUAGUAUGAAUGGUCUGACGAAAGUUAUGCUGUCUUUUAUUAAAUAAAAUGAAAUUGACCUGCAGGUGCAAAGGCCUGUAUAAAACUAAAAGACGAGAAGACCCUAUUGAGCUUAAAAGAUUUAGUAAAGUACAAUAUAUUGCACGAAAUUUUAACUCUUAAAAAUUUUUAGUUGGGGCGACUUUGGAACAAUAUAACUUCCGAAUAUAUAAAAUACUUUUAAAUAUUGAUCCAAAAAAUUUUGAUUCAUAGAAUUAGUUACCUUAGGGAUAACAGCAUAAUCUUUCUUAAGAGUUCUAAUCGAAAGAAGGGAUUGUGACCUCGAUGUUGGACUAGGA